CUCUUAACUUUGUGUUCUUAGGAUUUAAAGAGAGACAGUCACUGAAAUGGUUAUGGUAGAAUUCCUAAGCAAUUGAAGGCCCUGCUUGGAUUGAUUCUUCCAAAAUAUUUUUCUGUUUUUAUAGUUACAAAAAACUAAAAACUCCUAAAUUGGUCUACUUGGUUCUGUUUUUUAAAAACUGUUUUUGAAAAACUGAGAUAAAUGAGUUAAGGUUUUUGGAGAACAACUUUGGGCUGUUUUCUGAAUUUUCUAAAACCUUUUAUUAGUUAAGGGAAAACACGGAGAACACUUUGUUCGCUUAAAAAAAAUGACGGACCCUUCUCGUUUAUAACCUCAGCCAUACAAGCCCUCCUUACAAUCUCUCUUCAAGCAUUUUCUCUCAAAUUUCUUAGUUACAGUCUCUCUUUAACCCAUCUUUCAGUUUCUUGAACCUCGUCUAAUGAUGGUCGAUCUGCGCUUCUCUGCCUACAGUUGUCUCUCUUCGUUCGGCUAGCCAUGUUUGUGCUUGUAACUACGGUAGAGCAUUUUUCAACUGGCAUCCAUUUGUGUCAAUUGUGGGGAGGCUAUUAAUGAUGAUACAAACCAAUUGUUUGGGUUUAGAUUUGUCGGUUGCUUCAUUGGGCCUGACCUUCCUUUUCAACUCUUCAUGAUUUGGUGAUAUAAUUUGAUAAUAAUAUCAGACAACAAGUUCAGAAAAUGUUGUUCUCUUCUUGGGGGAUUUGGCAAAAAAAAAUGAAUGUAUGGUUCACUAUUCUUGAUGCAUCAUCAUCAUUUAUCCAAGCUUCUUUGCCGUUUUGAGUGGUCUGUCAGCCAGUCCAUGUUGAUUUUUCAUGGAGGGUAUGCCCUCUUUAACACAAAUGGGAGCCCUUAGAACUCAUCUGACGAGUCCAAUGUGGGCGUCAUUCAGAGACAAUGCUAGAUGAAGUUACUUUUAUAAUUCUCCAAUGUUUUGCUUUGAUUAGCUAUUUGUGUAAUUCUCUAAUAUUUUGUUUUGGUUAUGUAUCACUAAAAUUAAUGUUUGUUCAACUAAAAGUGCAUAUGACACUUGAAGUAAUUCAUGUAACUCUUUUAUUGUAUUUAAAUUUAGUCAAAUUUUAAUUAAACUUGAUAUAUUGUAUUUGUGCAA